rnacentral:rRNA from 1 species
CCUACGGGAGGCAGCAGUGGGGAAUAUUGCACAAUGGGGGGAACCCUGAUGCAGCGACGCCGCGUGGGUGAAGGAGUAUUUCGGUAUGUAAAGCCCUAUCAGCAGGGAAGAACAAUGACGGUACCUGACUAAGAAGCACCGGCUAAAUACGUGCCAGCAGCCGCGGUAAUACGUAUGGUGUAAGCGUUAUUCGGAUUUACUGGGUGUAAAGGGAGCGCAGGCGGCGCGUUAAGCCUGGUGUGAAAGUCCGCGGCCCAACCGCGGGACUGCAUUGGGAACUGGCGCGCUGGAGUGCCGGAGGGGUAGGCAGAAUUCCUGGUGUAGCGGUGAAAUGCGUAGAUAUUAGGAGGAACACCAGUGGCGAAGGCGGCCUACUGGACGGUGACUGACGCUGAGGCUCGAAAGCGUGGGGAGCAAACAGGAUUAGAUACCCGAGUAGUC